CCUGACUGCUAUCGGAUUGGUACUAAGCCAUGCGAGUCAUUGUAGUAAUACAAGGCAGACGGCUCAGUAACGCGUAGUCAACCUAACCUAUGGACGGGAAUAACCUCGGGAAACUGAGUAUAAUGCCCGAUAGAACAUUAUGCCUGGAAUGGUUUAUGUUCCAAAUGAUUUAUCGCCGUAGGAUGGGACCGCGGCCUAUCAGUUUGUUGGUGAGGUAAUGGCCCACCGAGACUAUUACAGGUACGGGCUCUGAGAGGAGUGGCCCGGAGAUGGGUACUGAGACACGGACCCAGGCCCUAUGGGGCGCAGCAGGCGAGAAAACUUUGCAAUGUGCGAAAGCACGACAAGGUUAAUCCGAGUGGUUUCUGCUAAAGGAACCUUUUGUCGGUCCUAGAAACACCGAUGAAUAAGGGGUGGGCAAGUUCUGGUGUCAGCCGCCGCGGUAAAACCAGCACCUCAAGUGGUCAGGAUGAUUAUUGGGCCUAAAGCAUCCGUAGCCGGCUUUGUUAGUUUUCGGUUAAAUCUGUACGCUUAACGUACAGGCUGCCGGGAAUACUGCAGAGCUAGGGAGUGGGAGAGGUAGACGGUACUCGGUAGGAAGGGGUAAAAUCCUUUGAUCUAUUGAUGACCACCUGUGGCGAAGGCGGUCUACCAGAACACGUCCGACGGUGAGGGAUGAAAGCUGGGGGAGCAAACCGGAUUAGAUACCCGGGUAGUCCCAGCUGUAAACUAUGCAAACUCAGUGAUGCAUUGGCUUGUGGCCAAUGCAGUGCUGCAGGGAAGCCGUUAAGUUUGCCGCCUGGGAAGUACGUACGCAAGUAUGAAACUUAAAGGAAUUGGCGGGGGAGCACCACAAGGGGUGAAGCCUGCGGUUC
rnacentral:rRNA from 1 species